UUUCCAUGGAGUCCUAACUAACUCUCUCUGAUGCAUUAGUUGGGUUUGUCAUUGGGCCUUCCAUCGAGUCAUUUUGUUGAACCGGAUCAGAGUUGACGUUCUCAUUAACUAUCCCCUGCCCGAUAAGGACCUUGUCCCCAAGGUGAUUUGAGAAAAAAACAUUAGAGCUCAUCUUUGUCAACCCAAGCUGUCUCUUCGCAAGGUGACCCUGCCCAUUCCACCAACACCUAUUCGAUCGGCGCCCCCUCUCGCCUGACGAUGUUACAUCCAAUAAUCGCAGUUGGGAGGGGCUGGAAAGUCGUGGGUGUCGCUGUUAAAGUCGGACUUCUCAUUGGUGGAUUCCCAUGAUACUCUUUCGGCAUAGAGACGUGGAAGACUAGGUGGAUAGUGCUCCCCUCCGACAACUCUAACCGAUAUGCGAGCUUCUCAACUCGCCAAUGCACGUGGUAAGGCUCGAAGAACCAUCGACCUAAUUUCGGGUGUUCCUUGAGAAAGAAAGAAAUCUACCGGUAAAAUCCCAAUUCAUCAUUAAAGACCUAUGUAGCAAAAUUCAGCCUAAGGAAGGAAGGAAACUCAACACUGUGGUCGAGAAUGGAUGAAUGCUAGCAAAUACUGCUCCAAGGAGCAAUAUGUGACUUCAGUUUAACCAUCGCUUUGGAGAUGAUAAGUCGUACUAUAAUGUAGUCUAGUUCCAUUAUACUCAAACAAGUUCCGCCAAAAUCAAAUGAGAAAAAUUAGGUCAUGAUCUGAGACAAUGACAACAGAGAAGCUAUGAAAUUUGACUAUGGACGCAAUGAAGACCUUAGUAACAGAUGCAACAGUAAGACCAAAACGCAGAGCUUUAAAAUGGGUUGUCUUGCUAAAGCGCGCCGUCGACGACCACCAUGAUAGCCGAGUUAUGCUAAUUGCAUCAAAAUCCAAACCUAAUAUACACUUUGUCCA